ACGUACCCUCGGGACGGGGAUAGCCACGGGAAACUGUGGGUAAUACCCGAUGAUCUGGUCUGGAGUCAUUUCCGGGCCAGCAAAGGUGAGAUUCCGCCCGGGGAGCGGCUGACGCGCUACUAGCUUGUUGGUGAGGUAACGGCUCACCAAGGCGACGAUGGCUAGGGGGUGUGAGAGCAUGGCCCCCACCACUGGGACUGAGAUACUGCCCAGACACCUACGGGUGGCUGCAGUCGAGAAUCCUCGGCAAUGGGCGCAAGCCUGACCGAGCGACGCCGCGUGCGGGAUGAAGGUCUUCGGAUUGUAAACCGCUGUCGGGAGGGAUGAAGUGCAUGGGGGUUCUCCCCCGUGUUUGACAGAGCUCCGGAGGAAGCACGGGCUAAGUUCGUGCCAGCAGCCGCGGUAAUACGAACUGUGCGAACGUUAUUCGGAAUCACUGGGCUUAAAGGGUGCGUAGGCGGCGCUCCAAGUCAGGUGUGAAAUCCCCCGGCUCAACCGGGGAACAGCGCUUGAAACUAGAGUGCUCGAGCGAGGCAGGGGUGUGUGGAACUUCCGGUGGAGCGGUGAAAUGUGUAGAGAUCGGAAGGAACGCCGGCGGCGAAAGCGGCACACUGGGUCUUGACUGACGCUGAGGCACGAAAGCCAGGGGAGUGAACGGGAUUAGAUACCCCGGUAAUCCUGGCCGUAAACACUGGGCACUGGAGGGGAGGGGCUUCGGCCUUUUCUCUCGUAGCGAAAGCGUUAAGUGCCCCGCCUGGGGAGUAUGGUCGCAAGGCUGAAACUCAAAGGAAUUGACGGGGGCUCACACAAGCGGUGGA
rnacentral:rRNA from 1 species